GGAUGAGCAGCCUACAAAAAAACGGUUUCCCCAGGCCCCUCGAGUGAAAAUACCAGCCCUCAUCACUCCGCAGUCUGCCCCCCAGCCCACUGAUAGCAACCAUCAUAAUGCCCCACCCAGCUUCCGGCACCUUUCGCCACUCCGGCACAAACCGACACAGCUUUGCGAUCUCGCCAGCAUGCAGAGUCUGAUGUCUUCCCUAUAGAUGAUUCCAGAGACUCUGUGAGGCCACUAUUACAAGGUGAGACGCUUUGCAUUGAUUGGUGCUGCUGGACCACACUGGAGGUGCGAGUCCGCCGUGUAAUGGUUUAUGCCAUUACAAAGGAGCUGGCCUCUGUACUCAACUGGACAGGGGAAAAAAUACCAAGGACCAGACAAAGCAGAAAAGGGCAUUUAAAGACACAGCGCCGUGCAGAUGCAUAUUUGAUGGCCUGGCGCAGCAGGUAGGGGCGAACUCUAUGUCUGAGUUGGUCUUUGCUCAAGCAGUCCAGAAAUGGCUCAGAUAUGCUCCAGAUCGUACGGGUGGCGCGCAGGACGCACAUCAUCCAUCCCCAUCCCGGAGUAAAUAAUAAAAAGUGACGUGAAACAUAGAAAUGUAAAUAGGAAACUUUGUCUUUUAAUAAAGUAUUUUGCAAAUGAUACAUGUCUAUUGACCUUUUUUGGUUUUUUGUUUUUUUUCAAUAAAAAGCAACUGUGCGAAUGAGGUGGAAAAUCAACACCAUAUCUCAACAGUGUUUCAAUAUCAGAAUCUGACAUUGUUUCAAUGUCAACAGU